CGAACAGAUAAGGAGCUUGCUCCUUUGACGUUAGCGGCGGACGGGUGAGUAACACGUGGGUAACCUACCUAUAAGACUGGAAUAACUCCGGGAAACCGGGGCUAAUGCCGGAUAACAUGUUGAACCGCAUGGUUCUACAGUGAAAGACGGUCUUGCUGUCACUUAUAGAUGGACCCGCGCCGUAUUAGCUAGUUGGUGGGGUAACGGCCUACCAAGGCGACGAUACGUAGCCGACCUGAGAGGGUGAUCGGCCACACUGGAACUGAGACACGGUCCAGACUCCUACGGGAGGCAGCAGUAGGGAAUCUUCCGCAAUGGGCGAAAGCCUGACGGAGCAACGCCGCGUGAGUGAUGAAGGUCUUCGGAUCGUAAAGCUCUGUUGUUAGGGAAGAACAAAUGUGUAAGUAACUGUGCACAUCUUGACGGUACCUAACCAGAAAGCCACGGCUAACUACGUGCCAGCAGCCGCGGUAAUACGUAGGUGGCAAGCGUUAUCCGGAAUUAUUGGGCGUAAAGCGCGCGUAGGCGGUUUUUUAAGUCUGAUGUGAAAGCCCACGGCUCAACCGUGGAGGGUCAUUGGAAACUGGAAACUUG
rnacentral:rRNA from 1 species